GACGAACGCUGGCGGCGUGCUUAACACAUGCAAGUCGAACGAUGAAGCUAGAGCUUGCUCUGGUGAAUUAGUGGCGAACGGGUGAGUAACACGUGAGUAACCUGCCCGAACUCUGGGAUAACUGCUGGAAACGGUAGCUAAUACUGGAUACGACCUACGAAGGCAUCUUCUGUAGGUGGAAAGAAUUUCGGUUCGGGAUGGACUCGCGGCCUAUCAGCUUGUUGGUGAGGUAAUGGCUCACCAAGGCGACGACGGGUAGCCGGCCUGAGAGGGUGACCGGCCACACUGGGACUGAGACACGGCCCAGACUCCUACGGGAGGCAGCAGUGGGGAAUAUUGCACAAUGGGCGCAAGCCUGAUGCAG
rnacentral:rRNA from 1 species